CUGAGAUAAACAAUGUGUGGGAGAGAGACAGAGUGCGUGAUUCUAUUUGUGAAAUGGUGUAGGUAAUGGUGAUGAAAUAACUAUGUAAGUACAAAACUUUUACCAUGUUGUGAGCUAACGAAGGCAUGAUUUUGAUCACUCUAAGAACUGAAUUUCCUUGGCAAAGAGAACAUAUGAAAAACGAUACUAUACCAAAAUAUGGAGGCAUGAACUAGGCAUCAAGAUAACCAAUCUAGAGCUUAAAUGAGCAAGGAAGAUCUAUGUAAAUGGAUGUGAAAGACCUUAUACCUCACUGUUGGUAGUUGUUUACAGUAGCAAAAGGUAAUGAAGAAGGUAGAUGAAGGCACCAUUUAAUUCUUAGGCAGUGUUUUGAAACACGACUCGGUUAAAGUACUCCGACAUUGGUCGAGGCGAG
rnacentral:lncRNA from 1 species